CAUGGAGGGUGAGAAUCCCGUUCGGUUGAUCAGAUUCGCUUUACGAUACGCUUUCAAAGAGUCAAGUUGUUUGGGAUUGCAGCUUAAAAUGGGAGGUAAAUUUCUCCUAAGGCUAAAUAUUGGCGAGAGACCGAUAGCGAACAAGUACCGUGAGGGAAAGAUGAAAAGAACUUUGAAAAGAGAGUUAAACAGUACGUGAAAUUGUUGAAAGGGAAACGAUUGAAGUCAGUCAUACCAACGGGAAAUCAACCUUUUGAGCUCGGUCUCGUGGGUUUUGAAGAGUUUCAAAGCCUUCGGAUUCGCGAGAUUGGGAUCUCUCGGUGUAAUUUCUCGUACGGUUAGUCAACAUCGGUUUUGAAUGUCAUAAAAUGACUGGAGGAAUGUAGCUUCGAUCUCGUAUUGAAGUGUUAUAGCCUUUGGUAGAUGUGAUGUUUGAGACCGAGGAUUGCAACGGAUACCCUUCAGGGCUAUUCGUCUGAUCUCUGAUACGUUGCCUUGAUGUUGAAAGCUUGCUUAUGAUGUUAGGGUAUUACGGUCAAAAGGUUAGAACGAAUUACAUUCGUUAAGGAUGUUGACGUAAUGG
rnacentral:rRNA from 1 species